rnacentral:sRNA from 1 species
CCAAUCUGUUGUAGGAUGAGCUAGGACUUCUUACUAAGUAUUCAAACAUAUGAACCUUUGGCAGCCACUCUCAUUCAAGCCACCAUAAUCCCUUGUUCCCUAAGUUGAUUCUUGCCAGGAUAUGUAAUGACAGUAAGACAAAUAAGACUAGAACAAAAAUUGGUACCAAGAGUAACAUAGUCGUUGGGUGCUGAGAUUAAAAAAAAAUUAAAGAU